rnacentral:tRNA from 1 species
GGAUUGUGGCUCAACGGUAGAUUGCUCGCCUAGCACGUGUGAGGCCCUGGGUUCAAACCUCAGCACCA